rnacentral:rRNA from 1 species
AACGAACGCUGGCGGCGCGCCUAAUACAUGCAAGUCGAGCGAGAAGACGUAGCAAUACGUUUGUAAAGCGGCGAACGGGUGAGGAAUACAUGGGUAACCUACCCUCGAGGUGGGGAAUAACUAGCCGAAAGGUUAGCUAAUACCGCGUACGCUCCUUGGACUUCGGUUCAGGGAGGAAAGCGAUACCGUGGGUAUCGCGCUCUUGGAUGGGCUCAUGUCCUAUCAGCUUGUCGGGAGGUAACGGCUCACCAAGGCUUCGACGGGUAGCUGGUCUGAGAGGACGAUCAGCCACACUGGCACUGCGACAC